rnacentral:rRNA from 1 species
AUGAGCGCGAUAAGGGCAUUCGGUGGAUGCCUUGGCACCAGGAGGCGAUGAAAGACGUGGCACGCUGCGAAAAGCCAUGGGGAGCCGCGAGCAGGCUUUGAUCCGUGGAUAUCUGAAUGGGGCAACCCACCCAGCGAUGGGUAUCAUGUUCUGAAUACAUAGGGACAUGAGGCGAACCCGGGGAACUGAAACAUCUAAGUACCCGGAGGAAAAGACAUCAAUUGAGAUUCUGCUAGUAGUGGCGAGCGAACGCGGAACAGGCCAGUGGCUGUUUUUGAAGAAGCAGAACGGAAUGGAAAGUCCGGCCAGAGCGGGUGAUAGCCCCGUAUGCGUAGUGUCAGGAACAGUCCUUGAGUAGGGCGGGACACGUGAAAUCCUGUCUGAACAUGGGGGGACCACCCUCCAAGCCUAAAUACUCCCUGGUGACCGAUAGUGAACAAGUACCGUGAGGGAAAGGUGAAAAGCACCCCGACGAGGGGAGUGAAAGAGACCUGAAACCGAAUGCCUACAAGCAGUCGGAGCCUCUUAUGGGGUGACGGCGUACCUUUUGUAUAAUGGGUCAGCGAGUUUCUGUUUGCAGCAAGCUUAAGCCGUUAGGUGUAGGCGCAGCGAAAGCGAGUCUGAAUAGGGCGACGAGUUGCUGGCAGAAGACCCGAAACCGAGUGAUCUAGCCAUGGCCAGGCUGAAGGUGCGGUAACACGCACUGGAGGGCCGAACCCACGCCUGUUGAAAAAGUCGGGGAUGAGCUGUGGCUAGGGGUGAAAGGCCAAUCAAACUCGGAAAUAGCUGGUUCUCCGCGAAAUCUAUUGAGGUAGACCGUCGAGUAUUACCCCGGGGGGUAGAGCACUGGAUGGGCUAGGGGGGCCCAAAGCCUUACCAAACCUAACCAAACUCCGAAUACCCGGAAGUAUGAGCUCGGCAGACAGACAGUGGGUGCUAAGGUCCAUUGUCGAGAGGGAAACAGCCCAGACCACCAGCUAAGGCCCCCAAAUCGUGGCUAAGUGGGAAAGGAUGUGAGGAUUCCAAAACAACCAGGAGGUUGGCUUAGAAGCAGCCAUCCUUUAAAGAAAGCGUAAUAGCUCACUGGUCUAAUAGAAACCUUGCGCCGAAAAUGUAACGGGGCUCAAGCCACGUGCCGAAGCUGUGGGUGCAUUCUAUGAAUGCGCGGUAGCGGAGCGUUCCGUAGGUCUGUGAAGGAGACGGGGUGACCCUCUCUGGAGAUAUCGGAAGUGCGAAUGCUGACAUGAGUAGCGACAAACAGUGCGAGAAACACUGUCGCCGAAAGUCCAAGGGUUCCUGCGCAAGGUUAAUCCGCGCAGGGUGAGCCGGCCCCUAAGGCGAGGGCGAAAGCCGUAGUCGAUGGAAACCGGGCAAAUAUUCCCGGGCCUGCCAGAAGUGACGAAUACAAUAUGUUGUCGGGUCUUAUCGGAUUGAUCCGGCUUUUGGAGUAUUCCAGGAAAUAGCUCUGGCAUAUAGACCGUACCCGAAACCGACACAGGUGGACUGGUAGAGAAUACCAAGGCGCUUGAGAGAACGAUGCUGAAGGAACUAGGCAAAUUACUUGCGUAACUUCGGGAUAAGCAAGACCCGUCAGUGGGCAACCAUCGGCGGGUGGCACAGACCAGGGGGUAGCGACUGUUUAGUAAAAACACAGGGCUGUGCGAAGUCGAGAGACGACGUAUACGGCCUGACGCCUGCCCGGUGCCGGAAGGUUAAGAGGAGGUGUGCAAGCACCGAAUUGAAGCCCCGGUAAACGGCGGCCGUAACUAUAACGGUCCUAAGGUAGCGAAAUUCCUUGUCGGGUAAGUUCCGACCUGCACGAAUGGCGUAACGACUUCCCCGCUGUCUCCAGCAUCGGCUCAGCGAAAUUGAAUUCCCCGUGAAGAUGCGGGGUACCCGCGGUCAGACGGAAAGACCCUAUGAACCUUUACUGCAGCUUUGCAGUGGCAUCAGAGACAUUCUGUGUAGGAUAGGUGGGAGGCUUUGAAACCGGGGCGCCAGUUCCGGUGGAGCCAUCCUUGAAAUACCACCCUGACUGUUUCUGAUGUCUAACCGAGGCCUGUUAGCCAGGUCCGGGACCCUGCAUGGUGGGCAGUUUGACUGGGGCGGUCGCCUCCCAAAGUGUAACGGAGGCGCGCGAUGGUGGGCUCAGGCCGGUCGGAAACCGGCUGUCGAGUGCAAUGGCAUAAGCCCGCCUGACUGUGAGAGUGACAGCUCGAUCAGAGACGAAAGUCGGCCAUAGUGAUCCGGUGGUCCCGCGUGGAAGGGCCAUCGCUCAACGGAUAAAAGGUACUCUAGCAGCCUGUCGGGUUGGGCAUUUUGCGGCUGAUAACGCCGAGGCUGACCCGGCUUAUGCUGCCUGAAGCCGUGCCAUUCUUUUGCAGUUGUAUGCGAGAGCGACGAGGGUCCAUUCAGUCGUGACUUUUGCAAGGCCACGCAGACUGAAUCUUCUGAAGCCCAUGAUGCUUUUGAUAAUUCCAAAGACCGGUUCAACGGUCUGUUUUCGUAGUCUGUAAAUAUUUCCGGCUUUUGUGGUUUCCAGUUUUUUCUUCAUGGCAAGCCGCCAGGGUUCGGUGAUCCGGCGU